UGCUUUAGGAAAAUUAUUUAUUGCACCAAAGAAAAUAUUCACAUUUGAUAGAAACAUUUGUUUCGUCAAAGUAAUUGUCCGAAACACAAAACAAGGACAGACAUCACCUCAAAUUCAUCUGAUCCAAACAAUAUACAAUUCUUUCUACAACACCACUAAUUUCAUUUAUACGUAGGCAGCUUCGAUGUACAUUUUCAAUUACUGAUCAUACAAGAGCUCCUCACACGUCACGAGUUCUUCAACAAGGUCGCCUUUGAUAAGAAGUGAUCUCUGGUCGAGCACACUCAACACAAGUAGCAUCCUGUUGAAAUAAAGUACGCCUUAAUCGGGUGGAAAAAUAUCUGUAUAGAAAAAAUAUUGGAAACAAACAAUAAGCUAACAUCAAGAGUGGUUGGAAACAAAAUAUUGCCGCAAGAAGCAUGUACAAUAAUAUGUGAAAGAAGAAUCACCGAUGUUUGUUCAAGCACCCACUUGCUCGAACGAAUGUGUAGACAGCAACAGAAGCACACAUUUGCAAUGCUUGAAGCCGGGAUUCACUACCAUGGAAACAUAUAUAAGUAAAUUUUAGGAGCAUCUUGUAUGCUUUUCAUGGAAACAUAAAUGAUAUUGAAUGAAUCAUAGAUUGAUAGUGGUUCAAAAAAAAGUGUUGCAAGAAAAACAAAUAUGAACAAUAAUUUUAUUAUAAGAAGCAAUGUUUCCAUCGUCGUAGCACAAACUAAUAUUGGUUGAAGCAAUUGAGGUGUGAUUCGGAAGCACAAUUUGCAGGAACCAUGGAAAUAUGUUGAUACAUAUAAUUCAUCUAUAAUUGAAGCAUAGAGCAUUGGAAAUGGAAAUCUAGCCCAAAUAAACAAAGCUCAAUGACAAAGAAGAAUGAAAAGAUAGUUAGUAACAGAAUAAGUGUUAUGUGCAAGCAUGGAAUUUUGUAGUUACAACAAAUCAAUAUGAAGCAUGAAAAGUUCCAGUUGGGGAAUUGUUCGUAGGAUGCAUGUUGUAUGUCAAUAGUAGCCAAUUUAACUAGAAGAUAAAAUUGAAAUGAAAAUUAAACAAGGUAGACACCAACAUGCAGAUGCAUCUUUCUUCCAACAGUACUAGAAAUCCAACAAUAAUUGUUAGCAUUUCCAUGAGAAAAAAUAUAUAUAUAUAUAUAUUUAUAGAAGGCUACACAUAUGUAGGAACCAUGUAAAGGUUAAUAUCUCAACAAUUCUCAACUUCAUUAGAAGCAUUGAACUUCGACACUAGAAAAUAAAAAAUAAAAACGACAGUCGUCAACAUAGCUAUGGAAGUUUGGGUGAUCAGAAAACCAACAACACUUGAUGAUUUAAUGAUGUAGUACUUGGAUAGAACAAUUUCAGGCCAACAAUAGUCAAUAUUUGGCGCACAUUGGACAUGUGUAACUAUGAAUAUUCCACACACAACACUAGACACCUAUUACAAUUUUGAAAUUAAAGAUCACCACACGGAGAACAAUAGUAACCAAGGAAAAACAUCUUCGAAUGAGAGGGGAUUGAUGCACUGUUGAUACCUUCUAUUCUGAGAGGGAGGGCUUCAAAGAGGGGAAAAGGACCGGAUGCAUCUGCUUGUUCUCCGACGGACGCACUAAACACAUAGGAGGUGGCAGACACGUUCAAGAUGGCUCACCGGCGAGGUCUCCCUCGAGGGCCAUCAUGUGAGAGAUGGAGCGGAGAGGAGGUUUUCCUGUGGAUCCAGGAAUCGCAGUUGAGAUGGGGGCCUGGACACCACCGAUCUCGGCCAGGGAACGCAUCGGUGGAGUAGAAGAUGGGGGUUGCCGGGCUGCUCGACGACGAGGAGAAAAGGAGGAGCCAGGGGCGCAGCUGUUCGGUGAGCUCGAUCUGCUGCUUGACGGAGAGGGGAGAAGAAGGAUCAAGGAUGACAUAGUAGGAAAAAGGGAUCUGGCAAGGCGAGGGAGAUAUGCUGCGUUCGGGGUGAAAGAUGAGCUCCAGAAAAGGAAACUGGGAUUAGGAGAAAAGAUCCUGCACGGACGUUGCGGGAUGAUUUUCUUAACUUCCUUAAUUACAAAAGAGGACUAGUUUUGAACGUAGGAUAUGGAAUUGAUCGACGACGUUUAAGUGGUCUGAUGCUUGAGUCUUGCCAGACUAUGUAUACGAAGCGUUUCCCAAAAUCUAACAUCACCAAGAAAACACCGUCCCUUCUUUGCUUGGCAAUCUAAGAAAAAUGGGUAGUUUACUUUAAAGAGUGCGUAUCGGCUUACUGAUCACGAUGGAGGAGCAUCGAGUAGCUCGCCUUGGCGGGGUAGACCAUUAUGGAACUGUAUCUCAGAGGUCAUCG
rnacentral:lncRNA from 1 species